AGGGUAAAAUUGUCCUCACCCACUUCACCCCUUUUUCCCGCCAUCAACUUAGUCCAUAAGUAACAGUAGCAGCAAUAUGAAUCUGAAAAUACUUUAAAUGAUUAAGUUAAAUAAAGAAAAAAUAUCGUGAACACAUUAUAUUUCACAAUUCCACAACUACUGUUGCUGUCAUCUUGUGUCACUGGAAAAAUUUAGAAAGACAUAUUAAAUGGGUAGUCAAUUUAUAAUGAGUCAAUUUAAAAUGAGC
rnacentral:lncRNA from 1 species